rnacentral:rRNA from 1 species
UGGGGAAUAUUGCGCAAUGGGGGAAACCCUGACGCAGCAACGCCGCGUGAAGGAAGAAGGUCUUCGGAUUGUAAACUUUUGUCUUUGGGGACGAAAAAAAUGACGGUACCCAAGGAGGAAGCCACGGCUAACUACGUGCCAGCAGCCGCGGUAAUACGUAGGUGGCAAGCGUUGUCCGGAUUUACUGGGUGUAAAGGGCGUGUAGGCGGGACGGCAAGUCAGAUGUGAAAUACCGGAGCUCAACUCCGGAACUGCAUUUGAAACUGUUGUUCUUGAGUGCCGGAGAGGAAAGCGGAAUUACUAGUGUAGCGGUGAAAUGCGUAGAUAUUAGUAGGAACACCGGUGGCGAAGGCGGCUUUCUGGACGGUAACUGACGCUGAGGCGCGAAAGCGUGGGGAGCAAACA